GCAGAAAUAAGCCUUCGGUCAGGUUACUUACUGUAGAUGGUGUUUUUGCUAAUAGACGACAGCUGCUUUUUGCUUCGUAUCUUCGCAUGUGGACCUUUUGGAGCUCAGCAUCGCUCAGAGUGUCUUUGAUCAACACAAACUCACACAUAAUGGGCAGUUGCUGGAGAUCCCAGGCAUCAUAAACUGCCUGUGCACCAUCUACUGUGAGCUCCAGCAGGUGCACCCGGAUCUGGUCAAUGUCCCUCUGUGUGUGGAUAUGUGUCUCAACUGGCUGCUGAAAGUCUAUGACAGUGGCAGAAGUGGAAAAGUUCAAGUGCUGUCCAUGAAGAUUGGCUUGUUUUCUCUUUCAAAAGGACCCAUAAAGGACAAGUACAAAU